rnacentral:rRNA from 1 species
CAGCAGUGAGGAAUAUUGGUCAAUGGGCGGGAGCCUGAACCAGCCAAGUCGCGUGAGGGAAGACGGUCCUACGGAUUGUAAACCUCUUUUGCCGGGGAGCAACGGGGUCCUUGCGAGGGCCCAAUGAGAGUACCCGGAGAAAAAGCAUCGGCUAACUCCGUGCCAGCAGCCGCGGUAAUACGGAGGAUGCGAGCGUUAUCCGGAUUUAUUGGGUUUAAAGGGUGCGUAGGCGGGCUGUUAAGUCAGCGGUCAAAUGUCGGGGCUCAACCCCGGCCUGCCGUUGAAACUGGCGGCCUCGAGUGGGCGAGAAGUAUGCGGAAUGCGUGGUGUAGCGGUGAAAUGCAUAGAUAUCACGCAGAACUCCGAUUGCGAAGGCAGCAUACCGGCGCCCGACUGACGCUGAGGCACGAAAGCGUGGGUAUCGAACAGGAUUAGA